rnacentral:rRNA from 1 species
CAGUCGCCACGGUAAUACGGAGGAUCCAAGCGUUAUCCGGAAUCAUUGGGUUUAAAGGGUCCGUAGGCGGUCUUGUAAGUCAGUGGUGAAAGCCCAUCGCUCAACGGUGGAACGGCCAUUGAUACUGCAGGACUUGAAUUACUGGGAAGUAACUAGAAUAUGUAGUGUAGCGGUGAAAUGCUUAGAGAUUACAUGGAAUACCAAUUGCGAAGGCAGGUUACUACCAAUUGAUUGACGCUGAUGGACGAAAGCGUGGGUAGCGAACAGGAUUAGAUACCCCAGUAGUCCCUGUCUCUUAUAC